CGUGGGUGUGUAUCCCCGCUGACUCAGCUGUUGAGCACGCCCACCGUGCAGAACCAGUCAAAUAGUCGCCGCCAUCAGGUGGACAGCCACACUGUGCAUCGGGACCUGGCCUGCAGAACGCUUUUGUCUUUGGAAAGACAUCAAAGGAAAACGAUGAUGUAUCUGCGAUACUCAGCCCUCCUCGCCAUGAUGUGCAUCACCAUGACGACCUCAACAUUCAUGCGAGCUGUGCGAUUCGAGCCUCCAGUCUGCAUCAACUACAUGAGGAGUUGCGUGCCUGGAAUGGACACCUGUUGUAGUGGCAUGUCUUGCCUCAACCUGGCCAGAGGCUUCUGUCUCCAUGCUUUUGAGACCUGCGUCUGCCAGUAUCCCUACGAGGUCGACCUGGGCUGAGCAUCUCGACCACAGGCAGCUUCACAAAGCUACAGUGAUGUAGAUAUCCGUAAAGCCAAGCUAAGCCAUCUGCACAGAAAAGGUUUUGUGCUACUAUAUCUCGAAGACUUUCUUUGUUUUGGUUUUUGAUUUUUAUUUUUUUGUAUUGUAAAACUCUUGGAGCCGUGGUCCCUUCUGCGUUGUUCGUGUCUUCAGAAAAAUGGUUGGUAGCGGUACUCACAUGCUGUGUUAAUAAACUGUCUGGUUGUUGACAAAUAAGUGGGUCUUUUAUUUACCAACAUGCAUGUCUUAGUGUACAUGUGUAAGUGUAUGCGUAUAAGA